rnacentral:tRNA from 3 species
CGGGGUGUGGCGCAGCUUGGUAGCGCGCGUCGUUCGGGACGACGAGGCCGCAGGUUCAAAUCCUGUCACCCCGACGA